rnacentral:rRNA from 1 species
UACAGAGGGGGCAAGCGUUGUUCGGAAUUACUGGGCGUAAAGGGCGCGUAGGCGGCCUUCUAAGUCGAACGUGAAAUCCCCGGGCUCAACCCGGGAACUGCGUCCGAUACUGGAAGGCUUGAAUCCGGGAGAGGGAUGUGGAAUUCCAGGUGUAGCGGUGAAAUGCGUAGAUAUCUGGAGGAACACCGGUGGCGAAGGCGGUCUGCUGGGCAGUUGCUGACACUGAGGCGCGACAGCGUGGGGAGCAAACAGG